UGGGGAAUUUUGCACAAUGGGCGCAAGCCUGAUGCAGCGACGCCGCGUGAGGGAUGAAGGCCUUCGGGUUGUAAACCUUUUUCGCUCAUGGUCAAGCCGCAGCUUUGGGUUGUGGUGAGGGUAGUGGGUAAAGAAGCGCCGGCUAACUACGUGCCAGCAGCCGCGGUAAUACGUAGGGCGCGAGCGUUGUCCGGAAUUAUUGGGCGUAAAGGGCUUGUAGGCGGUUGGCCGCGUCUGCCGUGAAAUCCUCUGGCUUAACUGGGGGCGUGCGGUGGGUACGGGUUGACUUGAGUGCGGUAGGGGAGACUGGAAUUCCUGGUGUAGCGGUGGAAUGCGCAGAUAUCAGGAGGAACACCGGUGGCGAAGGCGGGUCUCUGGGCCGUUACUGACGCUGAGGAGCGAAAGCAUGGGUAGCGAACAGG
rnacentral:rRNA from 1 species